GUGUGCGCAUGCGCACUGGGGCGGGGGCCGCGGUCAAGGGGUGUGCGCAUGCUCAUUGGGACGGGGUUGCGGUUUGGGGCGGGGCCGCGGUCAGAGGGCGGGGCUUGCCCGGAGGGCGGGGCCGCGGUCGGGGGGGGUGUGCGCAGGCUCACUGGAGGGGGCGGGGGCCGCGGUCAGGGGGGCGGGGCUUCCUCGGGGGUGGGGGUGGGGCCUAGUCGGGAGCCCCAGCAGCAGGAAGCCGGAAGCGGCGGCUGGGGCAGCUCCAUCGGCGGCAGCUGCAGGAGCUGCACGAGCUGCACGAGCCGCAGGAGCUGCAGGAGCUGCACGAGCCUGGGCAGCACGUUUAGCAGCAGCAGCAGCAGCAGCAGCAGCAGCAGCAGCAGCAGCUCGUGGAGAACCAUGGCCGGCAUUAAAGGUUCCGCUCGCCUCUCUGUCUUCCCCGUGACCCGAAGUGGCUGAAAUGAGCAAAUCGAGCCAAUCCCGGGCCCCUUCGAUCAAUCAGUGGUAUUUAUUGAGCACUUACUGUGUGCAAAGCAUUGUACUAAGUGCUUGGGAGAAGCAGCAUGGCUUAGUGGCAAGAACCCGGGCUUGGGAGUCAGAGGACAUGGGUUCUAAUCCCCGUUCCGCCACUUAAUAAUGUUGGUGUUUGUUAAGCGCUUACUAUGCGCCGAGCACCGUUCUAAACGCUGGGGUAGAUACAGGGUGAUCAGGUGGUCCCACGUGAGGCUCACAGUUAGUCCCCAUUUUACAGAUGAGGUCACUGAGGCACAGAGAAGUUAAGUGACUCGCCCACAGUCACACAGCCGACGAGUGGCAGAGCCGGGAUUCAAACUCAUGACCUCUGUCUCCCGAGCCCGUGCUCUUUCCACUGAGCCGUGCCACUUGUCUGCCGGGUGACCUCGGGCAAGUCACUUAACUUCUCAGGACCCCGGUUGCCUCAUCUGUAAAACGGGGAUUAAAAGCGUGAGCCCCACACGGGACAACCUGAUUACCCUGUACUACCCCAGUGCUUAGAAGAGUGCUCGGCACAUAGUAAGCGCUUAACGGAUAUCAUCAUUAUUAAUUAUUAUUAUAUUACAACACCUUACUUAUUACCCUAGGAAUGGUUUUGUGCCUGGGGAUUAUCCGUCACGGAUUCUCUGUGCCAUCACCUCAAUAAACCUGCUUCUGUUACUCGUGAGCCCUCCGAUGAUGAUAAUAACGAUAAUGGUGGUAUUUGUUAAGCGCUUACCAUGUGGCCGAGCACUGUUCUAAGCGCUGGGGUAGAUAGAGGGCAAUCAGGUCGUCCCACGUGAGGCUCACGGUUAAUCCCCGUUUUACAGAUGAGGUAACCGAGGCCCGGAGAAGCGAAGUGACUCGCCCACGGCCACCCAGCUGACGAGCGGCAGAGCCGGGAUUCGAACUCAUGACCUCUGACUCCCGAGCCCGGGCUCUUUCCACUGAGCCACGCUGCUUCUCUAACAUGGGACAACCCGACUACCCUGUACUUACCCCAGUGCUCAGAAGGGUGCUUGGCACAUAGUGAGCGCUUAACGGAUAUCACAGUUAUUAAUUAUUAUUACACUGCAACACGUUGCGUAUUACCCUGGGAAUAGUUUGGUUCCUGGGGAUUACCCGUCACGGAUUCUCUGUGUCAUCACCUCAAUAAGCCUGCUUCUGGUACUCAUAAAUUCCUUGCGGGCAGGGAAUGUGUCCUGUUGUUCGAUCGUACUCUCCCAAGCGCUUAGAACGGUGCUCUGCGCACAGUGAGCACCCAAUACGAUCGCCUGACUGACUAAUAAUAAUAAUAAUGUUGGUAUCUGUUAAGCGCUCACUGUGUGCCGAGCACCGUUCUAAGCGCCGGGGUGGACACAGGGGAAUCGGGUCGUCCCACGUGGGGCUCACGGUCUUAAUCCCCAUUUGCCAGAUGAGGGAACUGAGGCCCGGAGAAGCGAAGCGACUCGCCCACGGUCACACAGCCGACAAGCGGCAGAGCUGGGAUUCGAACUCCUGAGCCCGUGCUCUUUCCACUGCGCCACGCUGCUUCUCUAGACACGAUCUCUGCCCUCAGGGAGCUUAGAGUCUCCCCGGACCUCCAGAAAAGACUAGGGGGCUGGUCUCGAGGUUCAACUUGGGCGGGGCCCCAGGUCGGGACUGGAAUUUGCAUUUUUUUGAUAAGUGUAGUAGCCACCUUGAGCUCUGGUCCCAGGGAGUGCCCCGGCUUUUUUUCCCCUCAGGCGAUGCAGGCGGGGGUUCAGUCGGAACAGGGGACGGUUGUCUUUUGGGUCCAGGGAGCUCAAGAAUAUGCCGGGGAGAGAAGAUAGUCCGUAAGCUCACUGUGGGUAGGGAGUGUAUCGGCUUAUUGUAAUAUUAUCCUCUCCCAGGCGCUUAGUAUCGAGAAGCAGCAGGGCGUAGUGGAUAGAGCACGGGCCUGGGAGUCGGGAGGUCGUGGGUUCUGAUCCUGGCUCCGCCGCACAAUAAUAAUAAUAAUAAUGAUGUUGGUAUCCGUUAAGCGCUUAGUAUGUGCCGAGCACUGUUCUACGCGCCGGGGGAGAUCCAGGGUAAUCGGGCCGUCCCACGUGAGGCUCACGGUUAAUCCCCGUUUCACAGAUGAGGUGACUGAGGCACAGAGAAGCGAAGUGACCCGCCCACGGCCACACAGCUGACGAGCGGCAGAGCCGGCAUUCGAACUCGUGACCGCUGACUCCCGAGCCCGGGCCCUUUCCACCGAGCCACACGUGUCUGCUGUGUGACCUUGGGCAAAACUUCGCUUCUGUGGGCCUGUUCCCUCGAAAAUGGGGAUUAAGACCGUGAGCCCCACGGGGGGACGACCUCAUUACCU
rnacentral:lncRNA from 1 species